GACGAACGCUGGCGGCGUGCUUAACACAUGCCAGUCGAACGGAAAGGCCCUGCUUUUGUGGGGUGCUCGAGUGGCGAACGGGUGAGUAACACGUGAGUAACCUGCCCUUGACUUUGGGAUAACUUCAGGAAACUGGGGCUAAUACCGGAUAGGAGCUCCUGCUGCAUGGUGGGGGUUGGAAAGUUUCGGCGGUUGGGGAUGGACUCGCGGCUUAUCAGCUUGUUGGUGGGGUAGUGGCUUACCAAGGCUUUGACGGGUAGUCGGCCUGAGAGGGUGACCGGCCACAUUGGGACUGAGAUACGGCCCAGACUCCUACGGGAGGCAGCAGGGGGGAAUAUUGCACAAUGGGCGGAAGCCUGAUGCAGCAACGCCGCGUGCGGGAUGACGGCCUUCGGGUUGUAAACCGCUUUCGCCUGUGACGAAGCGUGAGUGACGGUAAUGGGUAAAGAAGCACCGGCUAACUACGUG
rnacentral:rRNA from 1 species